rnacentral:tRNA from 1 species
GCCCUCGUAGCUCAACUGGAAGAGCGCCAGAUUCCGGAUCUGGAGGCCGGCGGUUCGAAUCCGUCCGGGGGUA